UUGAUCAAGAACACUUAUCAUUUCAGACCGGGUGUAACAGAGGAAUUUCAAGUUUAUCCUACUAAACUUUCACUGAUCAGAAGACAGCUGAUUUAACACAGCAGUCUGUGAUGGUCAGGAGUACAUUGCUGCCUUCUGGUAAAGAUUUCAAUCGACUAAGGAUUGGAACAUUCAGGGUACUGAUGGAGUUUUGUUCACGGUUGAUGAAUAUGGUGCAUUACUGAUUCAUAGCAUAAAUCAAAAAUGUAUCUGUACUAUGAUCUGUUAAAUAAACAGAACGUGUCAAAUCUUG